rnacentral:rRNA from 1 species
CGCCUGUUUUAUCAAAAACAUCGCCUCUUGCAUAAAAAUAAGAGGUCUAGCCUGCCCAGUGACCAUAGUUCAACGGCCGCGGUAUCCUAACCGUGCGAAGGUAGCGUAAUCACUUGUUCUUUAAAUGAGGACUAGUAUGAAUGGCAUCACGAGGGUUAUACUGUCUCCUUUUUCUAAUCAGUAAAACUAUUCUCCCCGUGAAGAAACGGGGAUAAACAUAUAAGACGAGAAGACCCUAUGGAGCUUUAAAUUUUAUUUCAACUGCUCUUCCGUCUAAUCUGUUCUGACUUAUUACCCCUAACCGAGCAUAAUGUAAAUAAAUUUUAGGUUGGGGUGACCGCGGAGCACAAUAAAACCUCCACAUAGAACAGGCCUAAGCCUUGAACAAAGAACCACAAUUCCAAGCACUAAUAUAUUAACAUCCAUUGACCCAAUAUUUUUGAUCAACGAACCAAGUUACCCUAGGGAUAACAGCGCAAUCUACUUUGAGAGCUCCUAUCGACAAGUAGGUUUACGACCUCGAUGUUGGAUCAGGGUAUCCCAGUGGUGCAGCCGCUACUAAAGGUUCGUUUGUUCAACGAUUAAAACCCUACGUGAUCUGAGUUCAGACCGGA